UACGUAGGAGACGAGCGUUGUCCGGAAUUACUGGGCGUAAAGCGCGUGUAGGCGGAUGAGCAAGUCUGCUGUGAAAGCGCCUGGCUUAACCGGGCGAGGUCGGUGGAAACUCCUCAUCUCGAGGUCGGUAGAGGGGGGUGGAAUUCCGGGUGUAGUGGUGAAAUGCGUAGAGAUCCGGAGGAACACCUGUGGCGAAGGCGGCCCCCUGGGCCGCACCUGACGCUGAGACGCGAAAGCGCGGGGAGCGAACGGG
rnacentral:rRNA from 1 species